GCGUUUUUAGCUCAGUUGGGAGAGCGCAGGUUUCCAAAACCUGAUGUCGAAGGUUCAAGCCCUUCAAAACGUG
rnacentral:tRNA from 1 species